UGGCGGACGGGUGAGUAACGCGUGGGUAACCUGCCUCAUACAGGGGGAUAACGGUUAGAAAUGACUGCUAAUACCGCAUAAGCGCACAGUACCGCAUGGUACGGUGUGAAAAACUCCGGUGGUAUGAGAUGGACCCGCGUCUGAUUAGUUAGUUGGUGGGGUAACGGCCCACCAAGGCGACGAUCAGUAGCCGACCUGAGAGGGUGACCGGCCACAUUGGGACUGAGACACGGCCCAG
rnacentral:rRNA from 1 species